AGAGUUUGAUCCUGGCUCAGGAUGAACGCUGGCGGCGUGCUUAACACAUGCAAGUCGAACGCACUCUCGUUUAGAUUGAAGGAGCUUGCUCCUGAUUGAUAAACAUUUGAGUGAGUGGCGGACGGGUGAGUAACACGUGGGUAACCUGCCCUAAAGUGGGGGAUAACAUUUGGAAACAGAUGCUAAUACCGCAUAAAACCUAACACCGCAUGGUGUAGGGUUGAAAGAUGGUUUCGGCUAUCACUUUAGGAUGGACCCGCGGUGCAUUAGUUAGUUGGUGAGGUAAAGGCUUACCAAGACCGUGAUGCAUAGCCGACCUGAGAGGGUAAUCGGCCACACUGGGACUGAGACACGGCCCAGACUCCUACGGGAGGCAGCAGUAGGGAAUCUUCCACAAUGGACGAAAGUCUGAUGGAGCAACGCCGCGUGAGUGAAGAAGGUUUUCGGAUCGUAAAACUCUGUUGUUGGAGAAGAAUGUAUCUGAUAGUAACUGAUCAGGUAGUGACGGUAUCCAACCAGAAAGCCACGGCUAACUACGUGCCAGCAGCCGCGGUAAUACGUAGGUGGCAAGCGUUGUCCGGAUUUAUUGGGCGUAAAGCGAGCGCAGGCGGUUUCUUAAGUCUGAUGUGAAAGCCUUCGGCUCAACCGAAGAAGUGCAUCGGAAACUGGGAAACUUGAGUGCAGAAGAGGACAGUGGAACUCCAUGUGUAGCGGUGAAAUGCGUAGAUAUAUGGAAGAACACCAGUGGCGAAGGCGGCUGUCUGGUCUGUAACUGACGCUGAGGCUCGAAAGCAUGGGUAGCAAACAGGAUUAGAUACCCUGGUAGUCCAUGCCGUAAACGAUGAGUG
rnacentral:rRNA from 1 species